ACCACCAUCUUGGUGUAACGGUAUUCAGUACGCUUCAUACGGUGACGCGAAAAAACUUUAUAAAAGCAAAACAAAUAAAAACGAUAUAAAGAGAGAAUGAUAUUAAUGGCUGUGACUCAUACACACUGAAAUAAAAUGGUUGUGAGCCGUCCGCUGUCCGUUAGGUGGCUAUAAUUAAUUAUAUGGUUUUUCAAACGUCAUGGGUAACACUGAAGCAAGUGAAAGCGACUAAAGAAAGUUACUCACAGUGCCAGUCAAUCCACCACUUCAAAGACGGCUUCUGGGAUGGGAAGAAGAACAGUAUGGACACGAUGGCCACCCCAGUGACGGCAUCUGACACGUACCUGGAAGGAUGAUUCACACAUAAACACAGCACAAUGGCCUCCAUCACUCGUGUGAGAACCUGACUCAUCCAUAGUGUCCACGAGAAUCCUGCUCAUACCCUUUGGGGAAGAAGACAGACCACCCUUGGAAGAACUUUGGAUCUCUGGUGAAUA